ensembl:lncRNA
GCCCGACUUUAUAGAACAGCCUUUGAGCACUGUAUGCUACUCUGCAGGUUCAGGAAACAGUCCUCCAUAAAAUGUGUCACACAGCAUCACACACUGCGGGCUUGGGUGAGGAAUGGCCGGCAGACUUGAGAAAGGCACGGCCAGCGGAUUUGACAAAGGAGUAGCCAGCGGGCUUGCGGCCACCACAAGUGACGACCCUGAGCUGGACUCUGCUUCGUCCAUGGUGAAAGCCGAUCUGGCGAUCCAUCGUGUGAAGUUGAUGUAUUUCCUCAGUGACCAGCGUGGAACAGCAUGAUUAAGUGGAUAUUGUCCUCUUUUGGAAGGCCAAAGUAGUUUUGCUUUCACAAUGAAACACACAGCAUCUCCACAACAUGGCGGCGGCAAAAAUACUACAGCGAGAAUAAAAGUUGCACCUUCUUUCUUUGCUUGAACAUUUGGGCGGUGUUAUGCAAAUCUUCCCACACAGUGACGUAGACCUGUAGGGGCGUGUUUAAAGGAGGGGUGUGUGGACAAGUCUUAACUUUUAGAAAGAAUAUCUCUUUGGAUUUGGGACUUUAGUCUUUGCAACUUUACAGAUCUUCUUUAUCCACCAAGAGCUUGCAACACUCCAAAGAGAAAGGAAAAAUGGUGUGGCCAAAGGGUUCACUGAUGUUUUGUCAUCGUUGCAAGUUUUCAGAUGCUCUCCAGUCAGUUCUUCCAAGGCACCAAACACUGCCAUAUGACCAGACCGCUCCACUGCAACUACAUAGUCACCGUAGCCACCCAGAUCCAGUCUGUAUCCAGAUCAGAUGGUCACUGCAGUCACCCGGAUCCAGUCUGUAUAUGCAGUCCAGAUAGUAGAUAAGAACCUAGAGAUGACUUCUACAGCCCUGAAUGUCAGAGGAGCCAAUGACAACUAGAUGAGCCCCAGAGACAGAUCCCAGUGAAGACCUCGUCACCUAGACAGUCAUCAGGAAAAGACCACAGGAACCAGACCAGUCCUCUGCACAAUCUGACUUUGCUGCAGCCUACAAAUAAACUGCUGGUUUCACCUGGCCAGAAAAGAACAACAGAGUUUUGGUUCCUUCAACACAGG